rnacentral:rRNA from 1 species
GACGGAGGAGGCAAGCGUUAUCCGGAAUUAUUGGGCGUAAAGGGUACUUAGGCGGCUGGUCAAGUCUGGGGUCAAAGGCCACAGCUCAACUGUGGGAAGGCCCUGGAAACUGACCGGCUAGAGUGAGGUAGGGGUUGCGGGAAUUCCCGGUGUAGCGGUGAAAUGCGUAGAUAUCGAGAGGAACGCCGGUGACGAAGGUGGGUUGCGGGACCGACACUGACACUGAGGCGCGCAAGCUAGGGGAGCAAACGGG